rnacentral:rRNA from 1 species
GAAGGUGGCAAGCGUUGUUCGGAAUCACUGGGCUUAAAGCGCGCGUAGGCGGACUAGAAAGUGUCUUGUGAAAUCCCCCGGCUUAACCGGGGAAUUGCUCGGCAAACUUCUAGUCUUGAGUCAAGUAGGGGUACAUGGAACUCUUAGUGGAGCGGUGGAAUGCGUAGAUAUUAAGAGGAACGCCAAUGGUGAAGACAGUGUACUGGGCUUGUACUGACGCUGAGGUGCGAAAGCGUGGGGAGCGAACGGGAUUAGAUACCCCGGGUAGUCCACGCUGUAAACGAUGUCUACUAGGUUGUGGAGGUUCUGACACACUCACAGCCCGGAGCAAAAGUGUUAAGUAGACCGCCUGGGGAGUACGGUCGCAAGGCUA